rnacentral:rRNA from 1 species
GACGAACGCUGGCGGCGUGCUUAACACAUGCAAGUCGAACGGAAAGGCCUCAGCUUGCUGGGGUACUCGAGUGGCGAACGGGUGAGUAACACGUGGGUGAUCUGCCUUGCACUCUGGGAUAAGCUUGGGAAACUGGGUCUAAUACCGGAUAUGAACUGCCUUUAGUGUGGUGGUUGGAAAGUUUUUUCGGUGCAAGAUGAGCUCGCGGCCUAUCAGCUUGUUGGUGGGGUAAUGGCCUACCAAGGCGUCGACGGGUAGCCGGCCUGAGAGGGUGUACGGCCACAUUGGGACUGAGAUACGGCCCAGACCCCUACGGGAGGCAGCAGUGGGGAAUAUUGCACAAUGGGCGGAAGCCUGAUGCAGCGACGCCGCGUGGGGGAUGACGGCCUUCGGGUUGUAAACUCCUUUCGACAGGGACGAAGCUUUUUGUGACGGUACCUGUAUAAGAAGCACCGGCUAACUACGUG